AGGAUGAACGCUGGCGGCGUGCUUAACACAUGCAAGUCGAACGAUGAACCUCACUUGUGGGGGGAUUAGUGGCGAACGGGUGAGUAACACGUGAGUAACCUGCCCUUAACUCUGGGAUAAGCCUGGGAAACUGGGUCUAAUACCGGAUAUGACUCCUCAUCGCAUGGUGGGGGGUGGAAAGCUUUUUGUGGUUUUGGAUGGACUCGCGGCCUAUCAGCUUGUUGGUGAGGUAAUGGCUCACCAAGGCGACGACGGGUAGCCGGCCUGAGAGGGUGACCGGCCACACUGGGACUGAGACACGGCCCAGACUCCUACGGGAGGCAGCAGUGGGGGAAUAUUGCACAAUGGGCGGAAGCCUGAUGCAGCGACGCCGCGUGAGGGAUGAAGGCCUUCGGGUUGUAAACCUCUUUCGACAGGGACGAAGCGUGAGUGACGGUACCUGGAGAAGAAGCGCCGGCCAACUACGUGCCAGCAGCCGC
rnacentral:rRNA from 1 species